AGAGAUAGGGUCUGUCUAUGUUGCCCAGGCUGGUCUCAAACUCCUGUGCUCAAGUGAUCCUCCCACCUCAGCCUCCCAAAGUGCUGGGAUUACAGGCGUGAGCCACUGCACCUGGCCACUAGGAUAUAUUUUGAAUUUAAAGUUGUGACAGAGACAUACUCAGGAAGGCUGGACCCAUGGAGGCUGCCCACCUUGUUCAUUGAUUUCUACUUGAUUGAUUCCUUCUUGAUUGAUUUCCAGGAUCUCUGAAACGAGAAGCCCUCCCCUUUAUAUGUUUAAUCAGAUAUUGCAAAGUGGACCUGAGAACGAGCCCGUCGGAAGCAGAUUAUGAAGGGGCCUAUGUUUUGAAUAUGCUGAACUGCUUUGGUUUGUGACUGGGGAAGAUUAAAGGCCUACAACAAAAAUGAGUGCUGGAUAUUGCUGACAAGAGAGGCUUCCUGUAAUUUCUCAGGCCAUAAGUAUUUAGUGAGUAUUUACAAGGUGUGGGUUAUUUUCAGAAACUCUUAGACCAAGAGACUCAGGAACUGGUAUGUCCCCAGGGACACUGGUAUCCCUGUCUCGCUUACUGGAGUGUCUCAUACAGGGACUGGCACAUAAAUACAGAAACGCUAUACAUAAACGCUAGUUAAAUGAAGGCACAGGUGAACAAAUGAGUGAACGAAUGAUCAAGCGAAUCUACUCGUUCAGUCCCUCAGGCUUUGUAACCCCAGUAACCAAGAACGAUGCCUGCCAUGAAUUAGGCAAUCAAUAAAGGUUUGGUUCCAUGAGUUAAUAAAUCCAAUCAAGCAUUAGUAACUUACCCAAGUAUUCUGUUUGACUAUUAAAAAUUUUCCAAUGUAGUUGCUAAUAAUUGUCAUACUCUUUCUGCACCCCACAUCUACAGAGGGUCCACUGUUGACGCCAGCAUUGCAUUUCCCAUGUUCCUGCUUGACACACCUGUGCAGGUGGCAUGGUUUUAGCAGACCGAUCCAGAGAGAAGUAUCUGCAUUACAGUUAGACUGGAAGAAAAGUUAUUAAGUUGAGACUUUAAGGUAACCAGCCUUACCGACGUCACAGAAGUGUGUACGGAGAAGAGUUCCUGCCAGCUCAAGUAUUGUCUCCUCUGAUCAGAGUUCUCCUUGCACAGCUUAUUUCUGCUGUGAUAGAAAAACAGUCUGGGUGUCACAGAGAGAACUGAAGACAGGAAGUGGGAACUCUCCCUUCUGAAUACAGCACUAGAGUUAAUGUUAAGAGUGAGGGAAAAAAGCUAAGAGUAAUUCCUAUUGGUGAACUCAUUCAAUAUUCACAGACACCUAGGAGAUAGAUAUUCUUCUUCUUCUUCCCAUCUUCUAAGAAACUGAGGCCCAGAGAGGUUGAGUAAAUUACUCAAGAUUAAAUAGCACAGAUGGCAGAACAAAGAUGCAAACUCAGAAAGUCUGGCUCCAUUCUUUCUUUUCUUUUCUUUUCUUUUCUUUUCUUUUUUUUUUUUUUUUUGAGACAGGGUUUCGCUCUGUUGCCUGGCUGGAGUGCAGUGGUGCAAUCGUAGCUUAUAGCAGCCUUGACCUCCUGGGUUCAAGCGCUCCUCCCAUUUCAGCCUCCCAACUAGCUGGGACCACAGGCAUGCAUCCCCACAUCCAGUUAAUUUUUGUAUAUUUUUGGGGGUAGAGAUGGGGUUUCACCAUAUUGCACAGGCUGGUCUUGAAUUCCUGGACUCGUGAUCCACCUGCCUUGGCCUCCGAAAGUGUUGGGAUUACAGGUGUGAGCUACUGCACCCGACCCUGACUCCAUUCUUAACCACUAUAUUACAUUGAUGUAUGUGUCCUCUUCACCUGGCAAAUCUUUAUGGAAUUUGGAAUAAGGCAAGGAUGUACUGCAAUAGGAUGUCGUAUCUGGACUUUUUUAAAAAAGUGUCUUUGAUUAUAAGACAAAUUCCAUAGCAUAAGAACUCAGAAACCACAAUGUAACAAAUCUCUGAUGACUAUUUGCAAAUUAUUUUUCCAGUGUCCUAAAGAAUACGGCCCUGCCCUGAGAGAGUAAAAUCACCUGCCACAGUGGUCCUUUGCACUAGGACUUCCCCCUCAUUCUCUCGCCUUUAGGGAUGGGAUAGCUGAGAAGAAGGGCCAAGCGGAUUACUUGGGAACGUGCCACAUUGAUGGGAAUUCAGGUGGUCUUGCUAGACUUCUACUGGGCACUGCUUUCUUUAUAAUGCUAAGUGUAUAUAAUCUGUUUUAUAUGCUUUGAGAAUGCACUGUAAUUGGUACACUCUGAUAAUCAAAGCAAACUUAGUCACAUAUAUUAGACACCACAGAGAAGUGUGCAGUGGAGUGAAACUGCAAUUUAUAUUGCCGUGUUACACUAGUUUCAGCUCCAGUUUUUAUUCUAUGCGUGAAAUGUAGGAUAAGAUUGCUCCUGUUGCAGCUUUUAGAGUUACUUCUUUGACCAUGUUUGGUUUGGCAGUUAAGAAAAAAAUCAACAGCAGGAUUACAUUUCAAUGGCACAACAUCUAAUCCUCAGGCAAAUGAUUUGUCCACGCUUAAUAUAAAGUACUUAGGAUGUAUUGUUUGAUGUGAACACUAGUUCUAAUAAAAUGGUGCCUGAGGUACAGUUCUUUAACUUGUAAUA
rnacentral:lncRNA from 1 species